rnacentral:pre_miRNA from 1 species
GCUGUUGGUUGAUGAGAAGCUCAAGAUGAGUUGUCAAUAUACACUUGCAGCCCAGAAAGCCAACCGUAUCCUGGGCUGCAAGUGCACAUUGACAACUCAUCUUGAGCUUCAGAA